GACGAACGCUGGCGGCGUGCUUAACACAUGCAAGUCGAACGGAGUGGCGAACGGGUGAGUAACACGUGUGUGAUCUGCCUUGCACUUCGGGAUAAGCUUGGGGAACUGGGUCUAAUACCGGAUAGUGCAAGAUGAGCUCGCGGCCUGUCAGCUUGUUGGUGGGGUAAUGGCCUACCAAGGCGUCGAAGGGUAGCCGUGCUGAGAGGGGGUACAGCGACAUUGGGACUGCGGUACGGCCCAGAGUCGUACGGGAGGCAGCAGGGGGGAAUAUUGCACAAUGGGGGGACGCGUGAUGCAGCGACGCCGGGUGGGGGAUGAAGGCCUUCGGGUUGUAAACUCCUUUCGACAGGGACGCGGUACCUGUAUAAGAAGCACCGGCUAACUACGUGCCAGCAGCCGCGGUAAUUC
rnacentral:rRNA from 1 species